rnacentral:rRNA from 1 species
GAUGAACGCUGGCGGCGUGCCUAAUACAUGCAAGUCGAGCGAACAGACGAGGAGCUUGCUCCUCUUACGUUAGCGGCGGACGGGUGAGUAACACGUGGAUAACCUACCUAUAAGACUGGGAUAACUUCGGGAAACCGGAGCUAAUACCGGAUAAUAUAUUUAACCGCAUGGUUCAAUAGUGAACGACGGUUUUGCUGUCACUUAUAGAUGGAUCCGCGCCGCAUUAGCUAGUUGGUAAGGUAACGGCUUACCAAGGCAACGAUGCGUAGCCGACCUGAGAGGGUGAUCGGCCACACUGGAACUGAGACACGGUCCAGACUCCUACGGGAGGCAGCAGUAGGGAAUCUUCCGCAAUGGGCGAAAGCCUGACGGAGCAACGCCGCGUGAGUGAUGAAGGUCUUCGGAUCGUAAAACUCUGUUAUUAGGGAAGAACAAAUGUGUAAGUAACUAUGCACGUCUUGACGGUACCUAAUCAGAAAGCCACGGCUAACUACGUG